CCCUCUCUAGUCUAGUUGGCAAAACGUCCGACUGUCAGAGGACAUCUAACAGGUCUUCGGGAGUCCCGGGUCCGAUCCCUGGGGGAGGGA